GGGAAGGUGGCUCAGAGGUAGAGUGCUGGCCUUGCAUGCCAUGAGGUGCUGGGUUCGAUUCCUCAGUACCA
rnacentral:tRNA from 1 species